rnacentral:rRNA from 1 species
AGAACGAACGCUGGCGGCAUGCCUAACACAUGCAAGUCGAACGCUUUUGGGGCUUCGGUCCCAAAGGAGUGGCGCACGGGUGAGUAGCGCGUGGGAACCUGCCCUGUUGUGGGGGGAUAACCGAGGGAAACUUCGGCUAAUACCGCAUACGCCCGGGGGAAACUCCGGGGAAAGAUUUAUCGCAGCAGGAGGGGCCCGCGUCGGAUUAGGUAGUUGGUGGGGUAACGGCCCACCAAGCCUGUGAUCCGUAGCUGGUCUGAGAGGAUGAUCAGCCACACUGGGACUGAGACACGGCCCAGACUCCUACGGGAGGCAGCAGUGGGAAUAUUGGACAAUGGGCGCAAGCCUGAUCCAGCAAUGCCGCGUGAGUGAUGAAGGCCUUCGGGUUGUAAAGCUCUUUCGCACGCGACGAUGAUGACGGUAGCGUGAGAAGAAGCCCCGGCUAACUUCGUGCCAGCAGCCGC